AUUCACUUACCUGCUCUGAUAAAUUCUGCUGCCAUCCUGAGAGCUGCACCACGGAGAGGCCCACAUGGCAAGGAACUGAGGGCUACCUUUACUGUAGCCUGUGAGAGACCAUGGGCCAAGGGAUCCAGAACAUCUUCUACAGUAGUGGUUGGUAAUCCUCCAUAUUUCAGCUGACACCUCUAUGUGAGCUGUGGUCAUCUUAGUGUCGAGAGAGUCCCCUCUGCCCACAUGAAAAACAGUCAGAGACGAGCUGUUUUGAAUCAAGUCUCCUGCUCUUGUAGACUUUUAGUUUGACCUUGGAAUGUUCAAGCAGACCUCUGCAUUUAAUCCAAGAUUGAGGCAAGUUUUCUCUCUGCCUAGGUUUAUCUUGUCUGUCUGUGAACAAAAGAGAGGAUAGCAAAGUACCUUGUUUGGAUUUGUCUAUAAAUGUGACCUUCCUAAACUGGCUAA
rnacentral:antisense_RNA from 1 species